GUGGCUCAGUGGUUAAGAGCACUGACUGCCGUUCCAGAGGACCUGGGUUCAAUACCCAGC
rnacentral:tRNA from 1 species